UGGCGGCAGGCUUAAUACAUGCAAGUCGAACGGUAAGGUCCGAAGUAGCAAUACAGAGGACACACGAGUGGCGCACGGGUGCGUAACGCGUAUGUAAUCUGCCCUUAACCGGAACAAAACAGUUGGAAACGGCUGCUAAUAUUCCAUAGUCAUUAGUUGAGGCAUCUUGAAGAAUGUAAAGAUUUAUUGGUUAAGGAUGAGCAUGCGUAUUAUUAGGUAGUUGGUAGGGUAAAGGCCUACCAAGCCGACGAUGAUUAGGGGUUCUGAGAGGAUUAACCCCCACACUGGAACUGAGACACGGUCCAGACUCCUACGGGAGGCAGCAGUAGGGAAUAUUGGGCAAUGGAGGAAACUCUGACCCAGCCAUGCCGCGUGAAGGAAGACGGUCCUAUGGAUUGUAAACUUCUUUUAUUGCAGAGUAAAAUCAGGCACGUGUGCUUGAUUGAGAGUAUGCGAUGAAUAAGUAUCGGCUAACUCCGUGCCAGCAGCCGCGGUAAU
rnacentral:rRNA from 1 species